rnacentral:rRNA from 1 species
AUUGAACGCUGGCGGCAGGCCUAACACAUGCAAGUCGAGCGGCAGCACGGGUACUUGUACCUGGUGGCGAGCGGCGGACGGGUGAGUAAUGCCUAGGAAUCUGCCUGGUAGUGGGGGAUAACGCUCGGAAACGGACGCUAAUACCGCAUNCGUCCUACGGGAGAAAGCAGGGGACCUUCGGGCCUUGCGCUAUCAGAUGAGCCUAGGUCGGAUUAGCUAGUUGGUGAGGUAAUGGCUCACCAAGGCGACGAUCCGUAACUGGUNUGAGAGGAUGAUCAGUCACACUGGAANUGAGACACGGUCCAGACUCCUACGGGAGGCAGCAGUGGGGAAUAUUGGACAAUGGGNGAAAGCCUGAUCCANCCAUGCCGCGUGUGUGAAGAAGGUCUUCGGAUUGUAAAGCACUUUAAGUUGGGAGGAAGGGCAUUUACCUAAUACGUAAGUGUNNNGACGUUACCGACAGAAUAAGCACCGGC